CUUCAAUCCCGAUGAGCUAUUAAUUAGUACCAAAACAGAGUUAUUAGCUCAGCACCAAGAACGUCUGGGACUAUAUUUGUAUGAUGGAAAAUUUCUAUUUACUAUUAAUCAAUAUGAUCUCAAUUGUGUCGCAGAACUGAAUAAAUGGAAUCUGAUAUUAAGUAAGAAGCUUAUUAAUGUUCCUGGACGAAUUUUGAAACCUCGAAAAAUUCUAUGCCGUUCAACAAGAUAUAACAUCGGGGGAAAAAGAGAUUGGACUAACAAAUUACAAUCUGUACCAAUGCUUACCUCUUCGGUGGUAAAGCAUUGAGUAAUUUUAACUCCUCGGAACUUUCGGGAAGACGUUGUUGUUUUUACGCAAAAUAUUAUACAAACGGCAAGAAAUAUGUCAUUUAAUCUACCGAAACCUGUUUUAGUCCUCAUGAAUGAUGGAAAAUCAAGUACAUUUUUAAGCAAUAUCGAAAAAGUUAUUAAUAGAAUCAAGCCAGAAUUUAUUUUAUGUGUAAUUUCAUCGUUAAAUUGUUUUAUUUACGAAACGAUUAAAGGUGCUUUAAUAGCAUCAUUGGAUAAUAAUCAUUGUACAUAUUUUAAUAACGUGGAAACACAUGGAAAUCUUUAGGAACUUUCCACUAAUUUUGAAAUUGGAAUAAUUAGUACGAAUUCUUUUUAAUUUCACAACACGUAAAACAAGGUAGUGUAACACCAACACAUUAUAAGCAAUACAAGACACAAUUAUUUUCUACCCGAUAAAUUACAAAAAAUUACAUUCAAGUUAACUCAUAAUUACUUCAAUUGGUCGGGUACCAUACGGGUCCCUGCUACUUGUCAGUUUGCUAACAAAUUGGCGUAUUUUACUGGCGAAACUCUAAGAUGUUCUCCCAAUCCUGGUUUAGAUGAAUCGUUGUUCUUUUUAAAAUGGUUGUACAC